rnacentral:rRNA from 1 species
UACGUAGGGUGCAAGCGUUAAUCGGCAUUACUGGGCGUAAAGCGUGCGCAGGCGGUUUGGUAAGACAGAUGUGAAAUCCCCGGGCUUAACCUGGGAAUUGCAUUUGUGACUGCCCGGCUAGAGUUUGGCAGAGGGGGGUAGAAUUCCACGUGUAGCAGUGAAAUGCGUAGAUAUGUGGAGGAACACCGGUGGCGAAGGCGGCAUCCUGGACCGGCAUUGACGCUGAGGAGCGAAAGCCAGGGGAGCAAACGGG